UACGUAGGGUGCAAGCGUUGUCCGGAAUUAUUGGGCGUAAAGAGCUCGUAGGCGGUUUGUCGCGUCUGCUGUGAAAACCCGAGGCUCAGCCUCGGGCCUGCAGUGGGUACGGGCAGACUAGAGUGCGGUAGGGGAGAUUGGAAUUCCUGGUGUAGCGGUGGAAUGCGCAGAUAUCAGGAGGAACACCAAUGGCGAAGGCAGAUCUCUGGGCCGGUAACUGACGCUGAGGAGCGAAAGCAUGGGGAGCGAACAGG
rnacentral:rRNA from 1 species